CAGAAUUGAGACACACUGAUCAUUGUGACAGAGAAGUAGACCAAACAAGGCAAGCUCGCAUGGCUUCGGGCAUUAGCAGGACUCUGGCCACGGGUGUCGCCGCCGCCGGCGGCGACGAUGAGGAGGAGGCGACAUGGUUGCACGCGCUUGAGCUGAUCUCGGGCUUCACCGUCUCCAUGACACUGAGGGCGGCGAUCCAGCUCGGACUCAUCGACGCACUUACCGCCGCAGCCACCGACGGCCGCGCGCUGACCGCCGGCGAGCUGGUUGCGCAGCUCCCGGCGGUGGACGAUGCAGGGGCGGCGUCCUCGGUGGACCGGAUGCUGCGGCUCCUGGCGUCGUUCAACGUCGUCAGGUGCUCGACGGAGGCGGGGCCUGGCGGUGAUCCUCUCCGCCGCUACUCGCCGGCGCCUGUGUGCAGGUGGUUCACCGCCGGCGACAACCACCAAGGGUCUCUGGCACCCAGGCUCAUGCUCGACGUCGACGAAGACAAUCUGAGCACCUGGCAUCAGAUGGCGGCGGCGGUCGUCAGCGGUGGGCCAUCGGCGUUCGAGAGGGCGCACGGGAUGCCAUUGUUUGAGUACAUGGGGACGAACCACCGGUUCAAUAUGCUGUUCAACCAGGCCAUGUUGCAGCAGUCCAUGAUGGUGAUGAACAAGCUGCUAGACCGCUUCCAUGGGUUUGAUGGCAUCAGUGUCCUCGUCGACGUCGGCGGGGGCACCGGCGUCACCCUGAAGAUGAUCAUCUCCCGGUAUAAGCACAUUACUGGUGUCAACUUCGACUUACCCCACGUCAUAUCUCAGGCUCCAUCUCUUCCGGAAGUUGAGAUUGGAGCUCCAACUGAUACCCAAUCGAUGCUCCUACGAAACGAUAAUGGGAAGGUGAUUGUUGUUGAUAUUGUUCUCCCUGCAACCCCAAAACCGGUACCCGAAGCACAAAACCCACUCCGGAUGGACGUUAUGAUGCUCAACAAUCUUCGUGGAGGAAAGAUAAGGACAGAGCAGGAGUACGCGAAGCUAGCUAUGGAUUCUGGCUUCAGUGGUUCCUUCCGGACAACCUACAUUUUCGCCAACUUUAUGGCAAUUGAACUAUGCAAGUAGCUCUUGAAAA
rnacentral:lncRNA from 1 species